rnacentral:rRNA from 1 species
GUGCCAGCCGCCGCGGUAAUACAGAGGUCCCGAGCGUUGUUCGGAUUCACUGGGCGUAAAGGGUGCGUAGGUGGCAUGGCAAGUUUGAUGUGAAAGCUCAGGGCUUAACCCUGAAAUGGCAUUGAAUACUGCUGUGCUGGAGGUUUGGAGGGGGGACUGGAAUUCUUGGUGUAGCAGUGAAAUGCGUAGAUAUCAAGAGGAACACCAGUGGCGAAGGCGAGUCCCUGGACAACACCUGACACUGAGGCACGAAAGCCGGGGGAGCAAACAGGAUUAGAUACCCGCGUAGUCC